rnacentral:rRNA from 1 species
UACGUAGGGGGCUAGCGUUGUCCGGAAUCAUUGGGCGUAAAGAGCGUGUAGGCGGCCCGGUAAGUCCGCUGUGAAAGUCGGGGGCUCAACCCUCGAAUGCCGGUGGAUACUGUCGGGCUAGAGUGCGGAAGAGGCGACUGGAAUUCCUGGUGUAGCGGUGAAAUGCGCAGAUAUCAGGAGGAACACCGGUGGCGAAGGCGGGUCUCUGGGCCGAUACUGACGCUGAGGAGCGAAAGCGUGGGGAGCGAACAGG